rnacentral:rRNA from 1 species
ACCCGCUGACUUAAGCAUAUCAAUAAGCGGAGGAAAAGAAACCAACAGGGAUUGCCCCAGUAACGGCGAGUGAAGCGGCAACAGCUCAAAUUUGAAAUCUGCCCCCCGGGCCGAGUUGUAAUUUGCAGAGGAUGCUUUUGGCGCGGCGCCCCCUGAGUCCCAUGGAACGGCGCGCCAGAGAGGGUGAGAGCCCCGUACAGUCGGACGCCUAGCCAGUGUAAAGCUCCUUCGACGAGUCGAGUAGUUUGGGAAUGCUGCUCUAAAUGGGAGGUAAAUUCCUUCUAAAGCUAAAUAUCUGCCAGAGACCGAUAGCGCACAAGUAGAGUGAUCGAAAGAUGAAAAGCACUUUGAAAAGAGAGUCAAACAGCACGUGAAAUUGUUGAAAGGGAAGCGCCUGUGACCAGACUUGCGCCGGGUCGAUCUACCGCCGUUCUCGGCGGAGCACUCGGCCCGGUUCAGGCCAGCAUCGGUUUCGGCAGGGGGAUAAAAGCCCCGGGAAUGUGACUCCCUCGGGAGUGUUAUAGCCCGGGGCAUAAUACCGCUGCCGGGACCGAGGACCGCGCUCUGCGAGGAUGCUGGCGUAAUGGUCAUCAGCGACCCGUCUUGAAACACGGACCAAGGAGUCAAGGUUUUGCGCGAGUGUUUGGGUGUAAAACCCGCACGCGUAAUGAAAGUGAACGUAGGUGAGAGCCCCGGCGCAUCACCGACCGAUCCUGAAGUAUUCGGAUGGAUUUGAGUAGCAGCGUAAUGCCUUGGACCCGAAAGAUGGUGAACUAUGCUUGGAUAGGGUGAAGCCAGAGGAAACUCUGGUGGAGGCUCGCAGCGGUUCUGACGUGCAAAUCGAUCGUCAAAUCUGAGCAUGGGGGCGAAAGACUAAUCGAACC